AACUUUAUAUUCAAUUAAUGAUAUUAAAUUGCAAAUUUAAAGUAGUAUAUAUAAUACUAAAGUUU
rnacentral:tRNA from 1 species